rnacentral:rRNA from 1 species
CCUACGGGCGGCAGCAGUGGGGAAUAUUGCACAAUGGGGGAAACCCUGAUGCAGCGACGCCGCGUGAGUGAAGACGUAAUUCGUUAUGUAAAGCUCUAUCAGCAGGGGAGAAAAUGACGGUACCUGAGUAAGAAGCCCCGGCUAACUACGUGCCAGCAGCCGCGGUAAUACGUAGGGGGCAAGCGUUAUCCGGAUUUACUGGGUGGAAAGGGAGCGUAGACGGCAGUGCAAGUCUGGAGUGAAAGGCGGGGGCUCAACCCCCGGACUGCUCUGGAAACUGUACGGCUGGAGUGCAGGAGAGGUAAGUGGAAUUCCUAGUGUAGCGGUGAAAUGCGUAGAUAUUAGGAGGAACACCAGUGGCGAAGGCGGCUUACUGGACUGUAACUGACGUUGAGGCUCGAAAGCGUGGGGAGCAAACAGGAUUAGAUACCCUUGUAGUC